AGUAUUGCUUGAGUUUAAACACGGCUUGUUAGACUAGACGUGUCUUUUCGAGCAUCAACGGUGACGUCCAAAAUGCCUCACUCACGUAUUCUCUAUGUCACUCAAGAUGGAUUAGCACGGAAUAAAAUUAUCUAUUUACCGAGGACGCUAAAAAUCCCUUCUUGUGAAUCCUCCCUCAACAUGCGAAGUAGAGCAGAGCUUACAGCGGCAGAGUAAAUGCAUUACAGCCGUACAUUGCAAUAAACAGCACCACUGUAAGCAACAUCAUAGUUGCACUUGCAAUGCCAACAUUUGGGGAAAAAAAUCCAAGGACUCUACAGCAGAGCCACGCCCAAUUUAUGGAUCGCAUAGCCCUGUCACUUCAAUAAACCUAAAACAAGCAUGUAAAGUUCGAGUAGUAUAAUUUAGCCAUACGGAUUGCUUAAAGGGAUAGAACAAAUAUAUAUACUUUUAUAAUUCA